CCUACGGGUGGCAGCAGUGGGGAAUAUUGCACAAUGGGCGCAAGCCUGAUGCAGCCAUGCCGCGUGUAUGAAGAAGGCCUUCGGGUUGUAAAGUACUUUCAGCGGGGAGGAAGGUGUUGUGGUUAGUAACCACAGCAAUUGACGUUACCCGCAGAAGAAGCACCGGCUAACUCCGUGCCAGCAGCUGCGGUAAUACGGAGGGUGCAAGCGUUAAUCGGAAUUACUGGGCGUAAAGCGCACGCAGGCGGCCUGUCAAGUCGGAUGUGAAAUCCCCGGGCUCAACCUGGGAACUGCAUUCGAAACUGGCAGGCUUGAGUCUUGUAGAGGGGGGUAGAAUUCCAGGUGCAGCGGUGAAAUGCGUAGAGAUCUGGAGGAAUACCGGUGGCGAAGGCGGCCCCCUGGACAAAGACUGACGCUCAGGUGCGAAAGCGUGGGGAGCAAACAGGAUUAGAUACCCCAGUAGUC
rnacentral:rRNA from 1 species